CCUACGGGAGGCAGCAGUAAGGAAUAUUGGUCAAUGGACGCAAGUCUGAACCAGCCAUGCCGCGUGAAGGAUGACGGCCCUCUGGGUUGUAAACUUCUUUUAUCUGGGACGAAAAAAGGGCUUUCUAGCUCACUUGACGGUACCAGAGGAAUAAGCACCGGCUAACUCCGUGCCAGCAGCCGCGGUAAUACGGAGGGUGCAAGCGUUAUCCGGAUUUACUGGGUUUAAAGGGUGCGUAGGUGGGCAGGUAAGUCAGCGGUGAAAUCUCCGAGCUUAACUCGGAAACUGCCAUUGAUACUAUCUGUCUUGAAUAUCCUGGAGGUGAGCGGAAUAUGUCAUGUAGCGGUGAAAUGCUUAGAUAUGACAUAGAACACCAAUUGCGAAGGCAGCUCACUACGGGGUUAUUGACACUGAGGCACGAAAGCGUGGGGAUCAAACAGGAUUAGAUACCCUGGUAGUCCACGCCCUAAACGAUGGAUACUCGACAUACGCGAUAUACUGUGUGUGUNUGNGNGAAGAGAUAAGUAUCCACCGUCGGUAAGUAGUUAGUUCGCGAAGAGUUAGUUAACGUUACGAAGAAGUUAGACGGCGUUGAGACGUUGCCGAACGGACGACGACGAGGGGAGGUAGGAG
rnacentral:rRNA from 1 species